rnacentral:lncRNA from 1 species
GCACAAGUUGUAACAAACCUGCAGCAGACUUGUUGCAAUGCUGUUCCAACAACUUGUCACCAGGAUGUGUUCGCACUGCUUGUUCCCAGCUUGUUGACAAGUUGUCAACGGCUUGUUGACAACUUGCUACAAGGUUGCUGAGCUCAACAGACUUGUUACAAGUUGUUCCAACAACUUGUUAUCGUCCUGCAAUUCAACAAUUUGUCAACAAGUUGUGAGUGACAACCUUGUAGCAAACUGAUAAAAUAACAGCAUUGCUACAACGUGUUGACAAGUUGUGAGAUUUUUACGUGCGCGCACACGUAAAAACGUGCAAGUUGUUACAAGUCUGCAAACAAGUUGUUACAAAUCUGUUCACAAGCUGUCGACCAGUUGUGUUCGCACUGCUUGUUCCCA